rnacentral:rRNA from 1 species
AAUGAACGCUGGCGGAAUGCUUUACACACGCAAGUCGAACGGCAGCACGGACUUCGGUCUGGUGGCGAGUGGCGAACGGGUGAGUAAUGUAUCGGAACGUGCUCAGUCGUGGGGGAUAACGUAGUGAAAAUUACGCUAAUACCGCAUACGAUCUAUGGAUGAAAGCGGGGGAUCGCAAGACCUCGCGCGAUUGGAGCGGCCGAUAUCAGAUUAGGUAGUUGGUGGGGUAAAGGCCCACCAAGCCAACGAUCUGUAGCUGGUCUGAGAGGACGACCAGCCACACUGGAACUGAGACACGGUCCAGACUCCUACGGGAGGCAGCAGUGGGGAAUUUUGGACAAUGGGCGAAAGCCUGAUCCAGCCAUUCCGCGUGCAGGAUGAAGGCCCUCGGGUUGUAAACUGCUUUUGUACAGAACGAAAAGGUUUCUACUAAUACUAGGAGCUCAUGACGGUACUGUAAGAAUAAGCACCGGCUAACUACGUGCCAGCCGCCGCGGUAA